rnacentral:tRNA from 1 species
AAGAUUUUAAGAUAAAUAAUCACUUAACCUUCAAAGUUAAAAAUAUAAAUAUAUAAUUUUAUAAAUCUUA